CGUCGUGGUGAAGGGGUGCUUCAGGAUUCCUGAGUGAAAUUCCCCGAGCUUACGGGCAGAGAUGCCAUCCCGGAAGGGAAGACCCGUUCGACGAAGCCUGUCCAGCGGCGCAGAAAAGUUGGACAUCGAGCCCUCGAGGCAGGCUCGCAGCGGCAGCUUGCUACAGCACAGUAAUGCAGCCCAACCCUGCAGUAGCAGUGUGUUAACCGAAUGGGGAUUACUCUCGCCAUGAU
rnacentral:RNase_MRP_RNA from 2 species